rnacentral:rRNA from 1 species
UUGUUGAUAUAAAAAAUAUACAACUUUCAGCAACGGAUCUCUUGGCUCUCGCAUCGAUGAAGAACGCAGCGAAAUGCGAUAAGUAAUGUGAAUUGCAGAAUUCAGUGAAUCAUCGAAUCUUUGAACGCAUCUUGCGCUCCUUGGUAUUCCGAGGAGCAUGCCUGUUUGAGUGUCAUUUAACUUAUCAACCAUGUUCAUUGUCUGAACGUGGCUUGGAUGUGGAGGUUCUUUGCAGGCUUUUUCCAUCUCGAAAGGGUCGGCUCCUCUGAAAUGUAUUAGUGGUAUCUGAGCUGCUACUAUAGGUGUGAUAACUAUCUAUGCCUUUGGUGGGCUGCAUGAACAGAUUGCGCUGCUUAUAACAAAAAAACAAAUCUUUAUGACAAACUUGACCUCAAAUCAGGUAGGACUACCCGCUGAACUUAAGCAUAUCAAUAAGCGGAGGAAAAGAAACUAACAAGGAUUCCCCUAGUAACUGCGAGUGAAGCGGGAAAAGCUCAAAUUUGAAAUCUGGCGGU